UGUAUGUUGCCGUCGCCUCGCAAGUCGAGCGAACAGAGAAGGAGCUUGCUCCUUCGACGUUAGCGGCGGACGGGUGAGUAACACGUGGGCAACCUACCUUAUAGUUUGGGAUAACUCCGGGAAACCGGGGCUAAUACCGAAUAAUCUGUUUCACCUCAUGGUGAAACACUGAAAGACGGUUUCGGCUGUCGCUAUAGGAUGGGCCCGCGGCGCAUUAGCUAGUUGGUGAGGUAACGGCUCACCAAGGCGACGAUGCGUAGCCGACCUGAGAGGGUGAUCGGCCACACUGGGACUGAGACACGGCCCAGACUCCUACGGGAGGCAGCAGUAGGGAAUCUUCCACAAUGGGCGAAAGCCUGAUGGAGCAACGCCGCGUGAGUGAAG
rnacentral:rRNA from 1 species